rnacentral:rRNA from 1 species
GGCUCAUUAAAUCAGUUAUAGUUUAUUUGAUGGUACCUUGCUACAUGGAUAACUGUGGUAAUUCUAGAGCUAAUACAUGCUUAAAAGCCCCAACUUCUGGAAGGGGUGUAUUUAUUAGAUAAAAAACCAACGUGGGAAACCACUCCUUUGGUGAUUCAUAAUAACUUCUCGAAUCGCAUGGCCUUGUGCCGGCGAUGCUUCAUUCAAAUAUCUGCCCUAUCAACUUUCGAUGG